rnacentral:rRNA from 1 species
AACGAUGAUUAAGAGCUUGCUCUUAUGAUUAGUGGCGCACGGGCGAGUAAUAUAUAGGUAAUGUACCUCUUAGUCUGGGAUAGCCACUGGAAACGGUGAUUAAUACUGGAUACUCCUUUUCAUUUCAAGAUGAAUCGGGAAAGUUUUCGGUCAGGGAUGGGCCCGCGGCCUAUCAGCUAGUUGGUGAGGUAGUGGCUCACCAAGGCGACGACGGGUAGCCGGCCUGAGAGGGCGACCGGCCACACUGGGACUGAGACACGGUCCAGACUCC